CAAAAACUACAUAAUUCGAUAUACAAAUGACCAUGAUGAUGUUUCAAAACUAAAUUAAACUGCUCCUUUCAACAUUAAAACAAUCAAGAAUACAAAUUGACAUAGAAAACAAAAUAAAAAUAUGGCCAGAAAAUUAUUUUUCCAGUGGUGUUUCUUUUCAACCUUUCUGCAUUGAGUCAAAAACAUCCAUUAAAAGACCACUUAAAUAAUAGCAACUGGAUCAUACGAAAACAACCCAGUCAUAACAUGGAUGUUAUCCAACCGUUGACCAAAGGUUUUUCCGGCAAACAACCGUCAACAUUGCAAAAAGUUAAACAAAAUCCAACAUUCUUCUUCGCCCCUGAAUGAUUGCUUUGCACACCUGGUGACAUCCGUUGGGAAGCAACACUCAUUAUCCCAAAGUGAUCUCAGUCAGCUAUUGACUAAUCCGUGUUAUCUUGGUAAUAUACAGUGGCUCUACUUGUGACACCAGGAUUAAUGAUUCAGUGCUUACGGGAAAGCAGUUAUUCAUGGUGACAUUCUAACCUCGCUUAAGAAUGACUUGGGAUCUGUGGUAUGGAUUGUUACUGCUGCGAUGCGACAGGGGACCGGGCCACUCAACCCUCUUUCCAGUAUUACGCUGUGGCAGCAACAUGCUUAUGGCUCCGGAAUCCGAAAACAGCUAAGCCAAACGUUCUGCAAUGGGUGUUGCGGCCUAAAGAGGCCAAGCUCAUAAACGCACUUGCGCAGGCACACACGCAGACUCCAGCGAGUAGUCACCUCAGCAGAAAGACCUCAACUCUUUUAAUGAAAUAUAACAGUUAUGAUGACGGCAGGAAGGCAGGCAGAGGGAGUACCGGACAGUGAUUGGAGAGGGCAUAUCUGACACACACAAACGUGCGCGCACACACACACACACACACACACACAUUUGUAUAGACAUCUCAUUUCAAAAGCCUAACAGUGCUCUACAUAUACCCCGGAGCGUGAGCCGGGACAAAGAGAUGAUCAUAUACGGUACCAGGACUGGACCACCCCAAUGCAGAACAAAGCCCUACUGGACAACACAAGGGCAGAAAAGUGCAGCUUGGAAUUGUAUUGUUUGGCACUUGUUUCUUUUAUACACACACAGUAAAUCGUAAACAAACACUGACAUACAGUAUAUCUGACAAUUACAGAGCAACGUUUAACGGGAUUUAAAUCAAACAAAAUCUGAGCAAAAGCAAACAAGAUUUUUUUUUUUUUUCAAUGGGUUAAAAAAAAGAAAAACAUCCAGCACUUCAACAUACUGUCGUUAGGAUAUCCACAACAUCCAGACAGAAUUCCUAUCCCUCCUGAAAAAUGCUGGAACACUCCUGAGAAAUAGUAUGGGGAUUGUCUCACGAUGCUAUUCAGAGUAAGAGCAAGAAGAAAUCAGACGGACAGGAGGAGUUGAUUGACUGACAGAGUGGCAGAGUGUGUGACACUGACAGAGAGGGAGCAGUGAACAUGUUCAUGCAGAUUCUUGAAAACUAAUAUGGAAGCGCAAGAGUCCUCCCGUCAGUGGGGAAGCAUCCAAGAGCGAGCCGGCGUCGUAUGCCCUGGGAGACCGGUCAGGGUGAGAGCCUCUCCUUACCCACUGGUCCUCAGGCUGAGUCUGUUCAAUGCUGUGGUCCCACAAAGGAAAUGGGGAGAAUACAGAUGUUCCUUCAACUGAUGGUGGAAUACAGUGGUGUCUAGAUGAGCGUCCCAGUCCACAUGGUUAAGGUUAGGAUUAUGAGCAGGAUAUGAUAGAAUAUGAUCCUAAAUCAGUGGUCAAUGGGCGACCUCUGACCCUCUGGUUUAACUGGACGGUGAUAGGCUGUCCUCCAGAAGAUCUUCUAGUGACCCGGCCUCAUCUGGACGGGGCUCCUCCUUUGGCUCCAUCCUGGCCUUCUUAUUGGCAAAUUUGCUGGAGGGCUGGGGGUCCUCCUGCAUCAACUCUUUGGCCAGGAUGUUUGUCACUGCAUGACCAGCUCUCCGGUUGGCUGAGGGAGAGAUAGACAGGGAGAGAACAAUGGCAAAGAUCAGAGGUCAAGUCAGGUAUGGCGUUGUUGGGCAAACAGACAUACAAGAUGAUGUUCAGUGCAAACAUCAAGCGUCAUGCAUCUUAGUUGGGCCCCUAUUCCCUACGUAGUCCACUCCUUCCACAGGGGACGGUUGAGAAGGGGUGCUGUGGAAGGAAUAGGGGGGUGUUUGGGCCGCAGCCAGAGAGACACAACGGUCCCAGGGAGGGCUGGAGGAACACACACCGUGUCUGCACACACAUGUUCCAGACGGAACAAAACACACACGAGACACAUGCAUACGUGCAAACAGCGACGGGUGGCGUUAAUGUGAUAGGAUUACUGUGUGUGUGUGUGUGUAGAAUGCUUCUGUACUUGUAUCAGAUUACUACUCAACAGCAUCCCAUUGGCUAAGAGAGGGGGGGAUUAAUCAUGUGCGACUAUAUAGGGAGACGGAGGAAGGGAGGAGUGGACUACAAACAGAAGAGAGAUGAUGUGGUGCAUUUAGAGAGAGAAAGGAGAAGUGAUAUGGGACAGGAUGACAGAGGGGAAGAGACUGGGGGAGAGAAAGAAGGGGGCAGAUGUAGAGAGUGAGAUGGGAUGAGGGAGAUCAAAAAAACAAAGGGGAGGAUAGGUGAGUUGAGAGGGGGAGGGUAAAAAGGGAUGGAAGCAGAGAAAGAUAUGCAGAGUGUGACUGACUUGGUCCUGCAGAUGUGUUGUAGUUUAUAUUGUUCUACUUGUUCCCUCAAAGCAAUCCUGCCUUCUCCCUCCCUCCAUUUCCUCUGUGUUCUCCUUUCUGGGCAGACAGCGCUGUCCCAGCGGCCAUCUUGAAAUCAUAUGGAUCGGUCUGUGUGUGCCUGUGUGUUCUUGUUCCCAAAGAGCCUCUGGGAAAGCUCCGCCAUUAUCAAUCAAGCAAGCAAAACCUCCAAAACAACAGUAUCGGUUUUGCAAUGGUGCGUGUGUGUCUAGAGUGUUCAGUAAAAUGUAUGAGUGUAUUCUGGGGUUGACCCAAUAGUACGACUGUAGUCACAGAUGCAAACCGG
ensembl:lncRNA